rnacentral:misc_RNA from 1 species
UCAACCAUCAAGCUUGGCUUGUAGUUGGACCUAUUGGUUUGGGGGAUGCCCUGACCGGUCCGAAAGAUAAUGAACGGAGGUGCUCAGUGGCCUUGGAUGCAACGAGCUUUUCUAAGCACGCAUCGAACGGUCGUUAGGCCCCCGUCUUCAUAUAUAUUCUCUAC